rnacentral:rRNA from 1 species
CGAACGCUGGCGGCGUGCUUAACACAUGCAAGUCGAACGGAAAGGCCCUGCUUUUGUGGGGUGCUCGAGUGGCGAACGGGUGAGUAACACGUGAGUAACCUGCCCUUGACUUUGGGAUAACUUCAGGAAACUGGGGCUAAUACCGGAUAGGAGCUCCUGCUGCAUGGUGGGGGUUGGAAAGUUUCGGCGGUUGGGGAUGGACUCGCGGCUUAUCAGCUUGUUGGUGGGGUAGUGGCUUACCAAGGCUUUGACGGGUAGCCGGCCUGAGAGGGUGACCGGCCACAUUGGGACUGAGAUACGGCCCAGACUCCUACGGGAGGCAGCAGUGGGGAAUAUUGCACAAUGGGCGGAAGCCUGAUGCAGCAACGCCGCGUGCGGGAUGACGGCCUUCGGGUUGUAAACCGCUUUCGCCUAUGACGAAGCGUGAGUGACGGUAAUGGGUAAAGAAGCACCGGCUAACUACGUG